CGAUUUGAGUACUUUUGAGACCACCGAUUUUAUUCUUUGAAGUUCUUUAUUUAAUUGAAGGAACGUUUUAUUGAUCCAUCAUUAAAUAAUACAUCUACUUACAGUUUUUAAAUGUCAAGGUAUUUUACAUGGUAUUUGGUCACAUGCACAUUGUAGAAAAAGAAACACAAUGUUAUCUGUACAAACACUUACAGUAGUCCGCAGGGGGAGGAGCCUGUGAAAAAAAGGCACCUGGUAUGACAUUUGACCCUGGUUCACAGAUACCACCAGAUACACGUUACUGUCCACUUUGCCUGUGAAACAGAAACAGAGAGAAACAGCCGACAACGGGACGCCAUCCCUCCGUGUGACCUCUAAUUGUGUGCACUUCUGAGCAGCAACUCAAAAUACCAGCUCUGGUCAGUGUUUGAAUUAGGCCUAGAUAUCAGCACAUAUUAGAUACAUUUCUUACAUUGUAUCAUUAGUAGACAAGGUGUUUCCCAGAGCCUUCGUGAGCAACGUGGCUCUUAGCACAUCUACAGUACGAGUGAUUCAGACCACUAGUAGAGCAGCCAGAGUGCACCGUUAGACGCUUUUGUUGUUUGUUGCCAUUCCGCGUCAGGUCACUUUAUUCACAGACCAUUUCUGCUAAAAAAAAAAUAGAAUCACUGGUGUUUAGAGCCAAAGCAGAGGCAAGCGGCAGAGACGUGGAGCUGAUAGGCUGAGUGGUUCAUUUUCUAAUUAGGUGAACGUUUAAGCUCGGGUAGAUAUACAGACGGUCAUCUCUGCACACAGGGUAGGAAAGUCAGUCGACUUUUUGUCGGGGCGCCGGAUAACCAGGAAGUCAAUAACUGUGCCCAAAUCUCCCCUCCGAUAGACAGCAUAAUACACCUGUAUACAGGUGAUCCAGCCAACAAGAGAGGUACCGAUGGAGACGAGAGAAGAAGCCUAGGAAUCUAUAGCGAGUGGACAUGGCUGUCAGACAUGCUCGGUCAGUAGCAGCUCUUCCAACUGGAGAGGAGAGGGGUUCUAAUUUGGCUGUGUGGUUAACCCGUUGAGACUACGAGGUGAGCAUUUUGAUUGUUCUCAUCGGCGUCCUGUUCCGGAAUUAAAACAGCACCUGUGUGACGUCAUCAAUUAGAGCAUUCGGUAACACUUUAUUUCGGAUAGGCCAUCUGUAGAUGAUCAGUAACUAUCUAGUAGCCAUAACCCUUAACCUAACCCAAAAAUUAACCCUUACCCUUAUUCUAAACCUAACCUUAGCAAGCAGUUGCCGGUCAACAGAUUAUUUGUUGAUGGUAUGACCACAGACGGACUAUCCGCACUAUCCAAAUACAGUGUGACUGAACAUUCGGUUGGAAUAUUAAUUCUGCUCAUGGUUCUGAGGCUUCCUCCUCUCCUACCAUCACAACCGCUAUGUACACGCAGCUCUGUUCUACAGCAAAUGCACAAGCAGGGGCACCUUUAAAGCGCCUUUAAGGUACCACAGAGCUUCCUCGAACAGCUACUGUGAAACACACUGAGCGAAGGAGUAGAAAGGCUGAUCCUGGAACAGUGAACAGAGUAGAGCACCACAUAGUUAGCUAGCUAUAGGUGAUUGGCACAGCUGUGGGUGUUCAACAUCCUUCAUGUUAAGCCUGGUCCUCCAAGGGACAUGAUAGAGGAUUUGGAAAAUACAAUAUUAAAAAGGGAGUCGACAACAACAACAAAAAAUGCAUGAUAUGACGUUAUUAAAGAAGUCCUAAAAGUCGAUGGAGAUUACAUAGAUAUUCCAUAGAUAUUCCUCUAUGACAAAGGAACAUUGAUUGUACCUUAAACACAUUCAAAUGGCUUUAAAAACAAGGCGUUAUGGGCUACAUACAGAGACUGUAAAACUGGAUCUGUGUAUAGUAUAAACUCCCUCUACCUUCAACUCAGACCUAAACCUAGGCUCAGAAUAACGUGAUUGUGUCAUCUUAUGUCUUAUGUUUCUAUUUAUCAAACUAUUUACAUCAUGUUAGCAGCAUCCACAUGUCUCGUAAGAGAGACACCAUUGAUUCAGUCUUCAAAGACAGCUCUACAAAAGACAUGAUUUGAGAUUCUCAUUGCAGUAGAUUUCAUUUGGGACUCUUUUCUUUUGCUCUAUUGGACCACCAAUCCCUUCCUCUAAUGUCAUCCAUUUGAUCACAGUGCAGUACACACGUUUCUAAGUCUUUACCAGAUAAAGUGCACUCAAUAACAACUAGAUAUAUUCACAGGAGAAAAAAUGCUGUGAGUUACACGUGGCUCAGUCGCUCACUAGGCAUCUAAAGAUAUUUCCGAUCCUCAGGGAGGAGUGUGAGAAUUUCACAAUUUUUUCGGAAUGUUCUACGUUGUGACAUUGUCAGUGGGAAAUGAUUAGAAUGUCCCCUUCUAAAAGGGUUAGGAGGGAAGAUUCUCUGAUCAACGGUGCCUGGAGAUAGUGGUUAGCCACAUGAGUGUGUGUGUGCGUGUGUGUGCGCGGGAGGGCUAGAAGACAAAUAUGUUUAACUUAGCAGACAGUAAAUCUCAGAGCUGAAGGAAGCCAAGCCCUGCCAGGCAAGAUGGAUAACCUAAAAGCAUGUGUGUGUGUGUGUGUGUGUGUGUGUGUGUGUGUGUCCAGGCGUCGCCCCCACACUACCCCAAAGGCACACACACAGCAGGGAAGGGUUCCUUCUUUAAAACUACUGAACGGAAUAAAUAAAGAUCUGGUAAAGUGUGCGUCCCAAAUGGCACCCUAUUCCUUAUAUAGUGCACUACUUUUGACGAGGGCCCAUUGGACUCUUGUCAAAUGUAGUGCACUAUGCAGGGAAUAGGGUGCCAAUAGGGACGCAAGCACUCUUCCCCUGUCCUGACCUACUUAAUCAGACUUUUGCCCAUCAUGCAGCAUAACUCAUCACCACCUGCUAACACAGCAGCCAAUUAGCCUGGCUAGCAUCACCAUCCCUCCCACCACUCUCUGUGGUGCAGAACUAGAGCUAUAUCGGUGUCUGCAGUUACAAUUAUCAUCAGUUCAGACCUGGGCUCAAAUACUAUUUGAAAUUCCAAAUACUUUAUCUGUGCUUGAUUGAGCUUGCCUGGCAUCAUGGGCCACGUCUGGCAAAUCCAGGCAGGCUAGAAGAAAUGCUGACAAAUAUUUGAAAGAUUUCAAAUAGUACUCAAACCAGUGGAGGCUGCUGAGGGGAGAACGGCUCAUGACGGCUGGAUCGGUACGAAUGGAAUGGCAUCAAACAAACCAUGUGCUUGAUGUGUUUGAUACCAAUUCCACUUAUUCCGCUCCAGCCAUUACCACAAGCCCGUCCCCCACAAUCACAGUGCCACCAACCUCCUGUGAUUCAAACCCAGUUUUGCAGAAGUUACAACAGCUAAUAAGCUCCGAAUGGAGUCGCACAGCAUACCAGACUCACAGAGUGAGAGGAGAGGAGCGGUUGAGAUGGUGGCUUCCAGGGGGCGCUUAUUGAAGCACUUGAGAGCCUCAGUGAGAGAGAGAGAG
ensembl:lncRNA